UACGUAGGGUGCGAGCGUUGUCCGGAAUUAUUGGGCGUAAAGAGCUUGUAGGUGGUUUGUCGCGUCUGCUGUGAAAAUCCGAGGCUCAACCUCGGGACUUGCAGUGGGGUACGGGCAGACUAGAGUGUGGUAGGGGAGACUGGGAAUUCCUGGUGUAGCGGUGGAAUGACGCAGAUAUCAGGAGGAACACCGGUGGCGAAGGCGGGUCUCUGGGCAACAACUGACGCUGGAGGAGCGAAAGCGUGGGGAGCGAACAGG
rnacentral:rRNA from 1 species